UACGUAGGUGGCAAGCGUUGUCCGGAAUUAUUGGGCGUAAAGCGCGCGCAGGCGGUCUCUUAAGUCUGAUGUGAAAUCUCGUGGCUCAACCACGAACGGUCAUUGGAAACUGGGGGACUUGAGUGCAGAAGAGAAGAGCGGAAUUCCACGUGUAGCGGUGAAAUGCGUAGAGAUGUGGAGGAACACCAGUGGCGAAGGCGGCUCUUUGGUCUGUAACUGACGCUGAGGCGCGAAAGCGUGGGGAGCGAACAGG
rnacentral:rRNA from 1 species